GAGGCCUAGUGGUUAGAAUGUCUGUCUUGGAUACAGGAGGUCGUGGGUUCAAUCCCCAGCUGAGUCA